GACGAACGCUGGCGGCGUGCCUAAUACAUGCAAGUCGAGCGGAUCAUCCCUUCGGGGAUGGUUAGCGGCGGACGGGUGAGUAACACGUAGGCAACCUGCCUGUAAGAUCGGGAUAACUACCGGAAACGGUAGCUAAGACCGGAUAGCUGGUUUUCCCGCAUGGGGAGAUCAUGAAACAUGGGGCAACCUAUGGCUUCCGGAUGAGCCCACGUCUGAUUAGCUCGUUGGUAGGGUAAAGGCCUACCAAGGCGACGAUCAGUAACUGGUCUGAGAGGAUGAUCAGUCACACCGGAACUGAGACACGGUCCGGACUCCUACGGGAGGCAGCAGUGGGGAAUAUUGGACAAUGGGCGCAAGCCUGAUCCAGCAAUGCCGCGUGUGUGAAGAAGGCCUUCGGGUUGUAAAGCACUUUAGCUUGGAAAGAAAAAACUUUGGUUAACACCCAAAGUCUUGACGGUACCAGGAGAAUAAGCACCGGCUAACUCUGUGCCAGCAGCCGCCGUAAUAC
rnacentral:rRNA from 1 species